rnacentral:lncRNA from 1 species
GUUCCCAGCCGCCACUUCACCCACUGCAAUUCAUUUAGGAGCAGGUUACAGGAGCGGCUCCGGCCAGGCGUUCUCAGGCCUGAGCCGGAGCCUCGAGGGCUGGAGAGAGAGAGAAGGCAGCGCAGUGCGCGGGCAACCGCGGCGGGACGUCACCUGGGGGGCGGUGGCCGCAGGGACAGGCCCGGAGAGAUACCCGCAGCAGGGAGGCUGCGCGGGCCCAGCCCGCGGACGCUAGCCCCACGCGGCACUGCGGCCUGGGGGCCACGCGGGAGGGCCCCAGUGCACUUAGGGACACUGGGGACACUUGACCCGAACCGCAGGCCCCUGGGACGGGCAUUGAUAGACAGGACAGCACCCAGGGGAGUCAAGGACAUGGGCGAGACCAGGCUAGGCGGGGCGGGGGGGGUGGCGUGAGUGUGCAUUCUCGGGGGAAGGGAGGUCAGGGCGCAGGCAGGGGCAAGGGGCCGGAGCCGGGCACCGAGCUGGUGGGAGGGGCACUGGACUUCGAGCUCGUGGCCAAGGCGGGCUUCUGCGGGCGAUGACGGAGCGGGAUCGGUGCCUCUGAGCUCGGACCAGAGACGAUGCCACGUCUUAGUGGGGUGGUCGUGCCUGCCAGUCACGGAGGCCGGGCGGCCAGGACGUGCGCAGAGUGAUAUGAUAUGGUCCGGCGUGAUGGAGAGAGUAGGUGGGACCGUCCAGCCUACCAGAAUACUGUCAGCUGGCCCCGCGAGGAGUCGGGAUAUCUCUGUUCUUUUAGUCUCCUGAAGGAGCAAACACAGUACUGCUGCUCUUCAGACCCCCAGAACCCUCAAGAUGACAAGGUGAGAGGUCCCUGCCACACACUGGGCGGGGGGGGGGGCGGCACGGGCCCCAGAGGUGGGCACUCACGCUCUCCUAUCCCCGCAGAAAUGGUGCUACCCAGCUCAUGCCUGGGACUUGGAACAUGGACUUCUUCAAGUCUU